CAUAUUCUUUAUUUUCUCCCUUUUUCUCUCUGACUCACCCCUCAUAUCACUAUCGUGGCCCCCACGAUGCCCAACGACCAUCUUGCGCCGGCUACCCUCUUGUUUCUUUUUCGUUUUUCUUCUUCUCUCUUUCUUUCACUCUCUCUCUCUCCCUCAUCCCCAUGAUGGCUGCCCAUCUCACCACCGCUACCGAUGACGCUACUAUAGUGACACCAUUGCUGGCGAUGCCACCGUCGACUGACAGUCUCCUCCACUGUCGGCGACUGCCCCCCACUCCGGCCGUAUCUUCCAUGUCUCUAUAUUUCUCUCUCUUUUUUUUCUCCACCCCGACACUCAUUCUUUCUACUUUCAUUGUAGAGAUUUGCAUGAUUUGGGCUUACAUGUUAUUAGAUAUUGUUAUUAGGCUUAUUUGAAUUUCUUUUAUUUUUGUUUUUCUUGAUGUUUGGAUGGGUGUUUUGGCACUGUGCCGAGAGUGGAGAAACAUGGAAGCAGUUGGGGCAAGUGAAGAAGGGCAUGGGUUGAACUCACCACCGUACCCUCCUAAUAGGUAACCUGACCAGAUUCGACUUUGGUUUUUCAUAGUUUUUUUCAGAUAAGGAGUCACAGAGUUUUCUUUAUUAUUUUGUUUUUCCUUAAAAAAUAAAAUAAAAAUAAAUGGCGAAUACAAGUUUUUUUUCUAAAAAAUCAAAUUUUCACAAAAAAAAAAAAAAAAAAACUAGUCACCCAUCAAGUGAAAAAUUCAGGGUCCACAUACAAUUAACGUUUAUUAUUAAAAAAACUAAUUAAUAUUUAUUUUUAUUAAUCUUAAUAAAUAAAUUUAUUAUUUAACAUUCAUAUUUAAAGUAUUAUAAAUUUAUAAGAUAACCUUUAAAUAUUUACUAUAAAAAAAAUGAAUCAUUGGUUUGAACUCAGGCUAUUAAAUAUAUUAUUAUUAGAUGUGGCUAAACAUGAUAAAAAAAAGAAUAAUAAAUGAACUAUUUUGACUUAAUACUUAAAAUGAUUUUUAGCUAUAGGUUACGAUGUUAAGUUAUUUUAUCAAACAUAUUUAAUCUACUCAAUAAUUUAAACAUAUUUAAUUUAUUUGAAAACUUAAAUUACUUUAGGUCAUUCGAUUGAUUUACCAAAAUCAUCUACAUUUAUUUAGAAAGUCACAAUAUAUAUAUAUAUAUAUAUAUAUAAAUAAAGAUAGCAAUGCCAUAAAAAUUUGGUAUAUAAGGAUUCCGUAUUCAAGAACCUAAUUUUAACAUGACAAAUAAACAAGUGGAAAAAAUGCAAGAAAAUGGAACAUUAACAAUACGAAGAAGCACAAAUUAGCAUAAAUAUGAUUGAAAAAAAAGCAUUGGAACUUAUUUUGGAAGGAUUGUUAGCAAUUGACCCUUUGAGAUUUUGGAUAUUAAUUAAUGGGGUGCAAAUUGUUGCUUUAAAAUUUUUUUUAUUAGCUAAU